UACGUAGGGCGCAAGCGUUGUUCGGAUUUAUUGGGCGUAAAGAGCGUGUAGGCGGCCUGAAAGGUCAGCUGUGAAAACUCGAGGCUCAACCUCGAGACGUCGGUUGAAACCAUCUGGCUAGAGUCCGGAAGAGGAGAGUGGAAUUCCCGGUGUAGCGGUGAAAUGCGCAGAUAUCGGGAAGAACACCAGUGGCGAAGGCGGCUCACUGGCCCGAUACUGACGCUGAGGCACGAAAGCGUGGGGAGCAAACAGG
rnacentral:rRNA from 1 species